GACGAACGCUGGCGGCGUGCUUAACACAUGCAAGUCGAGCGAGGCCCGCCUUUCGGGGUGGUGUCCUAGCGGCGAACGGGUGAGUAACACGUGGGCAACCUGCCCUCAGCUCUGGGAUAACUCCAAGAAAUUGGGGCUAAUACCGGAUAUGACCGCUGACCGCAUGGUCUGGUGGUGGAAAGAUUUAUCGGCUGGGGAUGGGCCCGCGGCCUAUCAGCUUGUUGGUGGGGUAGUGGCCUACCAAGGCGACGACGGGUAGCCGGCCUGAGAGGGUGACCGGCCACACUGGGACUGAGACACGGCCCAGACUCCUACGGCAGGCAGCAGUGGGGAAUAUUGCGCAAUGGGCGAAAGCCUGACGCAGCGACGCCGCGUGGGGGAUGACGGCCUUCGGGUUGUAAACCUCUUUCAGCAGGGACGAAGCGAAAGUGACGGUACCUGCAGAAGAAGCACCGGCCAACUACGUGC
rnacentral:rRNA from 1 species